GAUCCUGACUCAGGAUGAACGCUAGCGGCAGGCCUAACACAUGCAAGUCGAGGGGCAUCACGAGGUAGCAAUACUUUGGUGGCGACCGGCGCACGGGUGCGUAACGCGUAUGUAACCUACCUAUAACAGGGGCAUAACACUGGAGAAAUUGGUACUAAUUCCCCAUAAUAUUCGGAGAGGCAUCUCUCCGGGUUGAAAACUCCGGUGGUUAUAGAUGGACAUGCGUUGUAUUAGCUAGUUGGUGAGG
rnacentral:rRNA from 1 species